rnacentral:ncRNA from 2 species
ACCUUCCUUGUCUGUGGGAGUUCGACGUUGCAAUGAUCGUUUAGUGAGCUCGUCGUGCUAACACAAUUAAUUACGUCAUCGUACCCGAUUAUAAAUCGAGUACAAUUUUUGAAGCU